GAUGAACGCUGGCGGCGUGCCUAAUACAUGCAAGUCGAGCGAACAGACGAGGAGCUUGCUCCUCUGACGUUAGCGGCGGACGGGUGAGUAACACGUGGAUAACCUACCUAUAAGACUGGGAUAACUUCGGGAAACCGGAGCUAAUACCGGAUAAUAUAUUGAACCGCAUGGUUCAAUAGUGAAAGACGGUUUUGCUGUCACUUAUAGAUGGAUCCGCGCCGCAUUAGCUAGUUGGUAAGGUAACGGCUUACCAAGGCGACGAUGCGUAGCCGACCUGAGAGGGUGAUCGGCCACACUGGAACUGAGACACGGUCCAGACUCCUACGGGAGGCAGCAGUAGGGAAUCUUUCGCAAUGGGCGAAAGCUUGACGGAGCAACGCCGCGUGAGUGAUGAAGGCCUUCGGAUCGUAAAACUCUGUUAUUAGGGAAGAACAAAUGUGUAAGUAACUAUGCACGUCUUGACGGUACCUAAUCAGAAAGCCACGGCUAACUACGUG
rnacentral:rRNA from 1 species